rnacentral:rRNA from 1 species
AGAGUUUGAUUAUGGCUCAGGAUGAACGCUGGCGGCGUGCUUAACACAUGCAAGUCGAACGGAGUUAUAUUUUGAGAUCUUCGGAUGGAUGAGAUAUAACUUAGUGGCGGACGGGUGAGUAACGCGUGGGGAACCUGCCCCAUACCGGGGGACAACAGUUGGAAACGACUGCUAAUACCGCAUAAGCGCACGGGAGGACAUCCUCCAGUGUGAAAAACUCCGGUGGUAUGGGAUGGCCCCGCGUCUGAUUAGGCAGUUGGCGGGGUAACGGCCCACCAAACCGACGAUCAGUAGCCGACCUGAGAGGGCGAACGGCCACAUUGGGACUGAGACACGGCCCAAACUCCUACGGGAGGCAGCAGUGGGGAAUAUUGCACAAUGGGGGAAACCCUGAUGCAAGCGACGCCGCGUGAGUGAGGAAGUAUUUCGGUAUGUAAAGCUCUAUCAGCAGGGAAGAAAAUGACGGUACCUGACUAAGAAGCCCCGGCUAACUACGUGCCAGCAGCAGC